GGGGGUGUGGCUCAAGUGAUAGAGUGCCAGCCUAACAAGCACAAGGCCCUGAGUUCAAAUCCCAGCAUCCCCU
rnacentral:tRNA from 1 species